AGAGUUUGAUCAUGGCUCAGAUUGAACGCUGGCGGCAUGCUUUACACAUGCAAGUCGAACGGCAGCGCGGGGCAACCUGGCGGCGAGUGGCGAACGGGUGAGUAAUAUAUCGGAACGUACCCAAGAGUGGGGGAUAACGUAGCGAAAGUUACGCUAAUACCGCAUACGAUCUAUGGAUGAAAGUGGGGGAUCGCAAGACCUCAUGCUCCUGGAGCGGCCGAUAUCUGAUUAGCUAGUUGGUGAGGUAAAGGCUCACCAAGGCGACGAUCAGUAGCUGGUCUGAGAGGACGACCAGCCACACUGGAACUGAGACACGGUCCAGACUCCUACGGGAGGCAGCAGUGGGGAAUUUUGGACAAUGGGCGCAAGCCUGAUCCAGCAAUGCCGCGUGAGUGAAGAAGGCCUUCGGGUUGUAAAGCUCUUUUGUCAGGGAAGAAACGGUUGAGGCUAAUAUCCUCGGCUAAUGACGGUACCUGAAGAAUAAGCACCGGCUAACUACGUGCCAGCAGCCGCGGUAAUACGUAGGGUGCAAGCGUUAAUCGGAAUUACUGGGCGUAAAGCGUGCGCAGGCGGUUUUGUAAGUCUGUCGUGAAAGCCCCGGGCUCAACCUGGGAAUUGCGAUGGAGACUGCAAGGCUUGAAUCUGGCAGAGGGGGGUAGAAUUCCACGUGUAGCAGUGAAAUGCGUAGAGAUGUGGAGGAACACCGAUGGCGAAGGCAGCCCCCUGGGUCAAGAUUGACGCUCAUGCACGAAAGCGUGGGGAGCAAACAGGAUUAGAUACCCUGGUAGUCC
rnacentral:rRNA from 1 species